AACGUAGGACACAAGCGUUAUCCGGAGUUACUGGGCGUAAAGGGCGUGUAGGCGGAUCGGUAAGUCUACUCUGAAAGCUCCUGGCUAAACUGGGAGAGGCGAGUGGAGACUGUCGGUCUAGAGUGGAGGAAGAGGAAAGUGGAAUUCCGGCGUGUAGUGGUAGAAAUGCGUAGAGAUGGCGGAGGAACACCAGUGGCGAAAGCGGCUUUCUGGUCCUUAACUGGACGCUGAGGAGCGAAAGCCAGGGGGAGCAAAGCGGGGAUUAAGA
rnacentral:rRNA from 1 species